GGGAAAAGCCAGAGGUUUGCAGCUGCAGUGAUAAAAGCCAAAUAGCUCCAACAGGCUCGAUGGAAUCCUGAAGUGUUUCUGAAGCCAUUCUUCAUCAUGAAAGCUUUUUUCUGUUUCACAGCUCUGUUUGUGAGCUGUUUGGCCGAAGAAUUGAUCGAAGAGGAAUGUGGGCCACUGAUCCAACCUUUGCCUGUGGAUGACAUCCCAAAGAUGAACGGCACCAUGUACCUCCUCCUCGGCUACACUGAUCAGGAAGAUUUUAGAGCCAUCAUGAAGCUGACUGACAGCUACUGGGCAAACAUAACGACGACCAGCAAUAACGAGCUCAUUAUAAACCAGAGGGACAAACUGUGGUCAUGAACCUUGACGUAAAGCUUGAAAUGUAGUGUUGAGUAAGUGCCUCCACAAGCGACAAAAGAUGCUGGAAACCUGACAUCUCUGCAUGUAUAUCAGAAAAUAUGUUGUAGAUUAGCUGCAGUACCUGGUUGUUCUACCAAGUGAAGCUCUUACUGUGAUACCGUCUGCUAUUUAAUAUAGUAGCGGCCAGAAGAGGUGGUCAUUUGGACUAUAGGUAGUUCAUUGUGGAAGUUCACCUAGCAAUGUGCCACCAUGACAGUUUUCUGUCAUGAUGAGAUUGACUAGAUCAGCAUUCCUAUAUCCCACUGCCAUAUAAAACAGAAUCCAUUUUGCAGCCAAGCCUCAGUUUGUGUUAUCUAUAUAUCUAUUUUUGAUAGAAAAUGUUGUGAUUUUUGAUGUAGAAGCUACCAAAGGUCUGCAUUACUGGCAUUUUGCCAAUGCGCUCUUCCUUUAUGAGAGGUAAAUUAAUUGAAUAUCUUCAGAUAUUUUUGGAUAUGUUGGACUUGUUGUAUUUCCAUUUUUAUAUUUGUAGUUUCUUUUCCUUUAUGUAGAUAGUAUUUUUAACCACAGAAAUCGACACACACAUUGUCAUUCUAAAUAUUAACUUGUCAUGUCAGUAAGUAUGUUGUAAAUUAGCUGUAGUACCAGGUGGUUCCAACUGCUUUACCUCUUGCUGUUUAAUAUAGUAGUGUCAAGAGGAGGUGAUCAUUUGGAUAAUGGGUAGUUGUGUGUUGGCAUACAGAAACCGUUGUGGAAAUUUAGCUAUGGGCCACCAUGACAAAGUCUUCUGUGAUGCUUAAUGACUUUUGACCAGAGCUUGUGUGUUUAUGAGAAGUUGAGAUAGACCAGAUCAGCAUUUAUUUAUCCCACUGGCACUGAGGUGACUGCCAAGGAGGCAUUGUACAAUUUGAAAACCUCAGUGUUUAUUUGUAUUUUGUUGUAUUUUAUUAUAUUCUUAAGAAACACAAGACCGCAUGUUUGAGGUUGUAAGAUGCUUGUUGUCUCUUUAUUUCCUCAGUUUCAGUGUUUGUUCUCACAUCAGGGUUUCUAUAUUCUGAUGCCUUUGCCUUCCUGACAGAAAUCUGCAGGGAGAAACACAAAAAGGUCAGUCCAAUCUUAAAUCACAUAUCAGCAGCUCACACUGAUUUCAUAGGUUGAGUAGAGGAGUUCAAAAGUGCUGCACCUUUCUCUGGAUUGUAGUGGAAGUCUGGUUCUCCAGAGAACCCGAGGCAGUGCGCCGUUUUCUUGAAAUGUUUCAGAUGUGAGUCCGUCACGAUCGUUUCGUUGGCUGCAAACAAAAAGACAACAAUGGACAAAUGUUGUGGGUAUAAAACUCUCUGUUUCGGGUUGGUUCCUUCCUACCCA